rnacentral:rRNA from 1 species
UACGUAGGGGGCAAGCGUUGUUCGGAAUUACUGGGCGUAAAGGGCGCGUAGGCGGGAAUAUUAGUCAGGCGUGAAAGCCCCGGGCUUAACCUGGGAACAGCGCAUGAAACGGUAUACCUAGAGGACGAGAGAGGAAAGCGGAAUUCCUAGUGUAGAGGUGAAAUUCGUAGAUAUUAGGAGGAACACCAGAGGCGAAGGCGGCUUUCUGGCUCGUAACUGACGCUGAGGCGCGAAAGCGUGGGGAGCAAACAGG